GUCGAACGGCAGCACGGGGAGCAACCCUGGUGGCGAGUGGCGAACGGGUGAGUAAUACAUCGGAACGUGUCCUGUAGUGGGGGAUAGCCCGGCGAAAGCCGGAUUAAUACCGCAUACGCUCUACGGAGGAAAGGGGGGGAUCUUAGGACCUCUCGCUACAGGGGCGGCCGAUGGCAGAUUAGCUAGUUGGUGGGGUAAAGGCCUACCAAGGCGACGAUCUGUAGCUGGUCUGAGAGGACGACCAGCCACACUGGGACUGAGACACGGCCCAGACUCCUACGGGAGGCAGCAGUGGGGAAUUUUGGACAAUGGGCGCAAGCCUGAUCCAGCAAUGCCGCGUGUGUGAAGAAGGCCUUCGGGUUGUAAAGCACUUUUGUCCGGAAAGAAAACCUCUGGGUUAAUACCCCGGGGGGAUGACGGUACCGGAAGAAUAAGCACCGGCUAACUACGUGCCAGCAGCCGCGGUAAUACGUAGGGUGCAAGCGUUAAUCGGAAUUACUGGGCGUAAAGCGUGCGCAGGCGGUCCGCUAAGACAGAUGUGAAAUCCCCGGGCUUAACCUGGGAACUGCAUUUGUGACUGGCGGGCUAGAGUAUGGCAGAGGGGGGUAGAAUUCCACGUGUAGCAGUGAAAUGCGUAGAGAUGUGGAGGAAUACCGAUGGCGAAGGCAGCCCCCUGGGCCAAUACUGACGCUCAUGCACGAAAGCGUGGGGAGCAAACAGGAUUAGAUACCCUGGUAGUCCACGCCCUAAACGAUGUCAACUAGUUGUUGGGGAUUCAUUUCCUUAGUAACGUAGCUAACGCGUGAAGUUGACCGCCUGGGGAGUACGGUCGC
rnacentral:rRNA from 1 species